rnacentral:rRNA from 1 species
GAGUUUGAUCUUGGCUCAGAUUGAACGCUGGCGGCAUGCCUAACACAUGCAAGUCGAACGGUAACGCGGGGGCAACCCUGGCGACGAGUGGCGGACGGGUGAGUAAUACGUAGGAAUCUGCCCAUUUGUGGGGGAUAACCCGGCGAAAGCCGGGCUAAUACCGCAUACGCUCUACGGAGGAAAGCGGGGGAUCGUAAGACCUCGCGCUAAUGGAUGAGCCUACGUCGGAUUAGCUAGUUGGUAGGGUAACGGCCUACCAAGGCGACGAUCCGUAGCUGGUCUGAGAGGACGAUCAGCCACACUGGGACUGAGACACGGCCCAGACUCCUACGGGAGGCAGCAGUGGGGAAUAUUGGACAAUGGGGGCAACCCUGAUCCAGCAAUGCCGCGUGUGUGAAGAAGGCCUGCGGGUUGUAAAGCACUUUCAGAGGGAAGAAAAAUCGGAUCUAACACAUCCGAGCUUGACGUUACCCUUAGAAGAAGCACCGGCU